rnacentral:lncRNA from 1 species
GGAGGCCGCCGCCCCCGGCGAGCCCAUGGACAUCAACACGGCCGUGCAGAUGGUCCUGAAGAAGGCCCUGGCCCACGAUGGCCUGUGCCGUGGCCUGCACGAGGCCUGCCGGUGCGUCUGGUCGCUUGGCGCGCUGGGUUUGAACUGAGACACAGCGAGGGGACACCAGCCAGCCAUAAGAUGAGCACCGGCCGCUUUGGUGGAGGGAGACACUGACAAAGCGAUAGGCAGUAGUAUGGCAGCGAGCGGUGACUGGGGUGGGGAUCGAUGGGGCAGGGUGGCGGGUGAUUGUAUGCGCGCGGCAGCCUACGGCAGGCCUGUGAGGACAGGGCCGAGUAGUCCGGCGCGUGUGUUCUGUGGAAGCCCGCCCCCCAUGCUACUGACACGUCACCUGCACGACCCGACGAAUAAUCGACAAAUCACCGACACACGCCACCUCCCCCGCCCCCGCCCCCUUGUCGUCAUGCGCCCGCAGCGCCAUUGAGAAGGGCCAGGCCCAGCUGUGCAUCCUGGCCGAGGACUGCAACCAGCCCGACUACAAGAAGCUGAUUGAGGCCCUGUGCGCCGAGCACAACGUCAACCUGAUCUCCGUGCCGGAGAACAAGCAGCU